rnacentral:tRNA from 1 species
CGGGGCGUAGCGCAGUAUGGGAGCGCGCGUGCCUUGGGAGCACGAGGUCGGCGGUUCGAGCCCGCCCGCCCCGACCA